rnacentral:rRNA from 1 species
CCUANGGGUGGCAGCAGUGGGGAAUUGUUCGCAAUGGGCGCAAGCCUGACGACGCAACGCCGCGUGGAGGAUGAAGAUUUUCGGAUCGUAAACUCCUGUCGAAUGGGACGAAUGGCUCGGCCGUGAAUAACGGUCGGGAAUGACGGUACCGUGAGAGGAAGCCCCGGCUAACUCCGUGCCAGCAGCCGCGGUAAUACGGGGGGGGCAAGCGUUGUUCGGAAUUAUUGGGCGUAAAGAGCGUGUAGGCGGCUGGAUAAGUCAGAUGUGAAAUCCCUGGGCUCAACCCAGGAAGUGCAUUUGAAACUGUUCGGCUAGAGUAGGGGAGAGGGAAGUGGAAUUCCUGGUGUAGAGGUGAAAUUCGUAGAUAUCAGGAGGAACACCGGUGGCGAAGGCGACUUCCUGGCCCUAUACUGACGCUGAGACGCGAGAGCGUGGGGAGCAAACAGGAUUAGAUACCCGGNUANUC